GAAAUGCGAUAACUAGUGUGAAUUGCAGAAUUCCGUGAAUCAUCGAGUCUUUGAACGCACAUUGCGCCCCCUGGUAUUCCGGGGGGCAUGCCUGUCCGAGCGUCAUUGCUGCCCAUCAAGCACGGCUUAUGUGUUGGGUCGUCGUCCCCUCUUCGGGGGGGACGGGCCCCAAAGGCAGCGGCGGCACCGCGUCCGAUCCUCGAGCGUAUGGGGCUUUGUCACCCGCUCUGUAGGCCCGGCCGGCGCUUGCCGAACGCAAAACAACCAUUCUUUCCAGGUUGACCUCGGAUCAGGUAGGGAUACCCGCUGAACUUAAGC
rnacentral:misc_RNA from 1 species